AACAGUUGUGUUUAUUGUAGCAUGGAGAACCUUGAUGAUUCAUGCAAGAUCCCCUGACAAAAUCCCCUACUUAAUUUACUGCAAUUCAGUAGCCACGCACUGUCACAGUUCUCGGUUUCGUAAGGAGGAGGGCGUGCCUCCUCAAAUCAAGUGGAUUGAUUGACAGCGGCGUGUGAACGCGCGUGCACGCCGUCCGUUCUUCGGCGUUGUGAGCGGCAUUGGGUGGAUUUCUUUCGCUCAAAUGAAAAAAUACGGACUCUGUGCACUGGUUUCAUACAUCAUGAUGCUGACACAUGGCUGUGACCUUUUCAAUAAGGACGACAAGACGUGACACAACUGAAUGCUGCUGGAAGAAAUGCUUGGGAGAUCUGUGAGAGGCAGGACCAGCGGUCUUCAGCCCCCACAAACCGGCCUGGAACCUGCCACACAAAGCAAGGCAACCUGUGACCCAGUGCGCAUCUUCCAUCCCAUCGAACAUCGCAGAAAUAAAAAAACAUUAAAUCAUGCGUUUUGUCUGUUUUCAUUAGAAUGCAUAUUUGUCCAUCAAAGAAGCUAUCAUCUUGCAAAUAGGUAAACUAACCCAUUGCAUAUAAAUAUUUUAUGUAUCAUAACAAGUAAUGAGUAAAUGUCUAAAAUAAUAUUAUGUUAGACUUAACCACCCGUCCUGCUUUGCGUUACACCGCACAGCAUUUUCACCCCUCGUCGCAUGGACAAUGCGGGAGAAAAUCUCCCGCAUUUUCAUCAGUCUGUUGUUUUUAGUUGUCACAUUAAGAAACACGUUCUUUAACCCGAAACGCACAUGAGACGCUUGUUUGCGCCAUUGUUUAUUUACCUAUUUAGCGCUGUAUCAAAAGCAGCAACCCGGUGCACUCCAGUGCACACCACACUCAUACAAACUAUUUUUUAAAGCCUGACUUUUACUCAAUAUAUGAGAAGUAGGCAGUGAUUUCAGUCAUCUAGAGGGUGCGACGUCUGUCAGUAGAUCGGGUGGCGAUCCUCCCAUGUCAACUUGCCGAAUAAAAACUCACUAAAACAUCGUAAACUGUGUGGCUUUGAAACUGUGUUUAGCCUAUAGGUUGUG